GUGCACCAUUGUGUAUUAUGGCUUUUUAUUCCUAUGUGAUGGUGAAAAAUGUUCAUGUAGGAACAGAAGCCAUUUUACACGUGGCGAUAC
rfam:Oryzias latipes DNA, contig47621 in scaffold97, strain: Hd-rR.